rfam:Cedecea davisae DSM 4568 genomic scaffold Scaffold0, whole genome shotgun sequence.
GCAGUAUCUCGUUAGGCGAGGCUCCUGUACAAACACAGGUUACUGAUCUGACGACGUCGAGAGACGCCCAAGAUUAGGACAGGUUAUAUCGAGUCAAGGUAUAACCCCAGGUAACUUCCCCCGCAUUUGGGGAUACGUUGUACAGUGCUAAAACCGAGACAUGGAGAUAGCGU